UGAAUAACCUGAAGGGAUUUCAAGUGG
rnacentral:sRNA from 1 species